rnacentral:rRNA from 1 species
GAUGAACGCUGGCGGCGUGCCUAAUACAUGCAAGUCGAGCGAACGGACGAGAAGCUUGCUUUUCUGAUGUUAGCGGCGGACGGGUGAGUAACACGUGGAUAACCUACCUAUAAGACUGGGAUAACUUCGGGAAACCGGAGCUAAUACCGGAUAAUAUUUUGAACCGCAUGGUUCAAAAGUGAAAGUCGGUCUUUCUGUCACUUAUAGCUGGAUCCGCGCUGCAUUAGCUAGUUGGUAAGGUAACUGCUUACCAAGGCAACGAUGCAUAGCCGACCUGAGAGGGUGAUCGGACACACGGGAACUGAGACAGGGUCCAGACUCCUACGGGAGGCAGCAGUAGGGAAUCUUCCGCAAUGGGCGAGAGCCUAACGGAGCAACGCCGCGUGAGUGAUGAAGGUCUUCGGAUCGUAAAACUCUGUUAUUAGGGAAGAACAUAUGUGUAAGUAACUGUGCACAUAUUGACGGUACCUAAUCAAAAAGCCACGGCUAACUACGUG